rnacentral:rRNA from 1 species
AGGUGCUGCACGGCUGUCGUCAGCUCGUGUCGUGAGAUGUUGGGUUAAGUCCCGCAACGAGCGCAACCCUCGUCACUAGUUACUAACGGUUCGGCCGAGGACUCUAGUGAGACUGCCUUCGUAAGGAGGAGGAAGGUGAGGACGACGUCAAGUCAUCAUGGCCCUUACGGCUAGGGCAACACACGUGCUACAAUGGUUGGGACAGUGAGACGCGAUACCGCGAGGUGGAGCAAAUCUAUAAACCCAAUCUCAGUUCGGAUUGUAGUCUGCAACUCGACUACAUGAAGCUGGAAUCACUAGUAAUCGUAGAUCAGCUAUGCUACGGUGAAUACGUUCCCGGGUCUUGUACUCACCGCCCGUCACACCAUGGGAGUUGAUUUCACCCGAAGCGGGGAAGCUAAACUGGCUACCCUCCACGGUGGAAUUAGCGACUGGGGUGAAGUCGUAACAAGGUA